UGGGAUGUAGCUCAGUGCUAGAAUGUUUGCCUCGCAUGCACAAAACUCUGGGUUUGAUUCCCAGCACCACAC
rfam:Ictidomys tridecemlineatus contig046468, whole genome shotgun sequence.